rnacentral:rRNA from 1 species
CGGACGGGUGAGUAACGCGUGAGAAUCUGGCUUCGGGUCUGGGACAACCACUGGAAACGGUGGCUAAUACCGGAUGUGCCGAGAGGUGAAAGGUUAACUGCCUGAAGAUGAGCUCGCGUCUGAUUAGCUAGUUGGAAGUGUAAUGGACUCCCAAGGCGACGAUCAGUAGCUGGUCUGAGAGGACGAUCAGCCACACUGGGACUGAGACACGGCCCAGACUCCUACGGGAGGCAGCAGUGGGGAAUUUUCCGCAAUGGGCGAAAGCCUGACGGAGCAAUACCGCGUGAGGGAGGAAGGCUCUUGGGUCGUAAACCUCUUUUCUCAGGGAAGAACAAAAUGACGGUACCUGAGGAAUAAGCAUCGGCUAACUCCGUGCCAGCAGCCGCGGUAAUACGGAGGAUGCAAGCGUUAUCCGGAAUGAUUGGGCGUAAAGCGUCCGCAGGUGGCUAUGUAAGUCUGCUGUUAAAGAGUCUAGCUCAACUAGAUAAGAGCAGUGGAAACUACAAGGCUAGAGUACGUUCGGGGCAGAGGGAAUUCCUGGUGUAGCGGUGAAAUGCGUAGAGAUCAGGAAGAACACCGGUGGCGAAGGCGCUCUGCUAGGCCGUAACUGACACUGAGGGACGAAAGCUAGGGGAGCGAAUGGGAUUAGAUACCCCAGUAGUC